AUUGAACGCUGGCGGAAUGCUUUACACAUGCAAGUCGAACGGCAGCACGGACUUCGGUCUGGUGGCGAGUGGCGAACGGGUGGGUAAUGUAUCGGAACGUGCCCAGUCGUGGGGGAUAACGUAGUGAAAAUUACGCUAAUACCGCAUACGAUCUAUGGAUGAAAGCGGGGGAUCGCAAGACCUCGCGCGAUUGGAGCGGCCGAUAUCAGAUUAGGUAGUUGGGGGGGUAAAGGCCCACCAAGCCAACGAUCUGUAGCUGGUCUGAGAGGACGAACAGCCACACUGGAACUGAGACACGGUCCAGACUCCUACGGGAGGCAGCAGUGGGGAAUUUUGGACAAUGGGCGAAAGCCUGAUCCAGCCAUUCCGCGUGCAGGAUGAAGGCCCUCGGGUUGUAAACUGCUUUUGUACAGAACGAAAAGGUUUCUACUAAUACUAGGAGCUCAUGACGGUACUGUAAGAAUAAGCACCGGCUAACUACGUGCCAGCCGCCGCGGUAA
rnacentral:rRNA from 1 species